UACGGGGGGGGCAAGCGUUGUUCGGAAUUACUGGGCGUAAAGGGCUCGUAGGCGGCCAACUCAGUCGGACGUGAAAUCCCUCGGCUUAACCGGGGAACUGCGUCCGAUACUGGAUGGCUUGAGUGUGGGAGAGGGAUGCGGAAUUCCAGGUGUAGCGGUGAAAUGCGUAGAUAUCGUAAGGAAGACCAGUGGCGAAGGCGGGUCUCUGGACAGUUCCUGACGCUGAGGCACGAAGGCCAGGGGAGCAAACGGG
rnacentral:rRNA from 1 species